UAUCAGCAGCAACGUGCAUCUGUGCCUAGGAAGGCAGCGCCCUGAGGGUGCCUGCUGCAGGGCCAGAGGCCCUGGGAGACCCUUUUGCUUCCAUUGCUCAAGUGACCUGCCUCUUCUUAAGUGACCUACUUCCUUUUACAGACUCCUGAGUUAGACAGUUCAAGAGGCUGAGCUGAGAACCACUGCUAAGACAGAGCACACACCAUCACCAGGGCUUGGCCUCGAGGCAGUCACAGGAACCAACUGAAGCUGGCAACACCCGACUUUAGAUACAAUCACACAGGCCCAAGGGACCAGCCACAUCUCCAGGCCACACUGCGCCAGCAGAACAAGUAUCCGUCUGUCAGUGUGAGUUCAUACCGUGCCGGCUCACACAUGCUGCUCCUCUCCAGCAAUGACGCUCUCCUCUCAGGCUCUUGCUGGUCAGGCUGGGGUUGGCGGAGUUGAUUCUCCACUGUCCUUGCUCCCUGGAGCUCAAUGGCCAAAGCGAGCAUGUUACUGUCAGCUAACAGGGCCGAUGUGCUGAAGGACCAGAUGUUCACAUUCUCCUCCUGGAACAAGUCUGGGAAGCUUGAACCGUCCACCAACAGGGAGGUGCCCCAGGGCUUGAACUCAAGACCUGCUGGCACUGGCGUCCUGCACACUCCCUGCCACACGGGAGGCCUAAGCCCCAAGAAGGGAAAAGUUGCUCCAGUGUUUUCCGGAUCAUGGUGUCCGGGACCAGAAAGGGCCGUCAUCGUUUCUCUCACUCCCAGGAAAGGCAUGGUGGGCAUAGGAUGACCACCCAGAUCUUUCUUCUCAGUCGCUGCUCUAAAAUGUGACCCUUGGGCUGGAUCUGAGUAGCCGGUGGGG
rnacentral:lncRNA from 1 species